UGACCUUAUCUUAUCGCCCAGCACUUGUUAUACGCUCAUAAAUUAGUUUGAUAGUUGAGCUCUGAUUGGCUGUAUGCAAAUGAGUUCAUAACUGGGGUCCGGAACUCUUUUGGGGGGGAAAAAAAAAAUUUUCGUGGACUGGAAAUUUCUCCUUCCUCUCGUCCGGACCAGUUUUGUCCAAUCUUUUUUCUUUUUUGCAUUACUCACUUAAAAAGAAUAUAUGUCUUUUCGGUAAAAAGAAGAAAAAAGAAAUUGGAAAAUUUAUGAAAUUUUUUCUAACCUCCUCCCCCUUUCAGUACCAAAUUUAUUUUUGCACAACACACUUACAAAAAGAUGGGAGAAGCCUUGAAGAUUAAAGAAAAAAAAUUGGGGGAAAUCAGCAAUCACUAUUACAAUCCCCACUCCCUUUAUUUUCAAACAGAAAAUGAAACAUAAUUUAAAGACAAGGGUGAAAUCUUUUAAAAUAUUUUCAUUAACCUUGCCCCUCCAUAUAUUCUAAAAUUUUGAGAGUUUUUUUCGAAUUUUUUUUUUUAAAAUCAUUGUUUUGAAAUACAAACUCUGAAUCUGCAAUUUAUUUCUGUUUAUAAUUUCAAAAUAAUUCUCAGAUGAAAAGCUGUGUGUGAUUUUAAGGGAAGUUUAGCUGUUGUUUCUAGCACAUCACACAAUCACCUGAUACCUUCCUCAUUUCUUUGUCACUCUGACAUACAUUGAUUUUUUAAAAUAUUUUUCUCCUCAUGAACACAUUUUAUGGAAUGCUGAUGCAGUGUUCCAUCGCUGGGAUUUAAGCAACAACAAAGAAAAAAUUUUACUUGACUGCGGCCAUGCUGGAGCACCACCUUUAGUCGAGCAAAUCGACCCCAGGACUUAUUCUUUCUCCAUAUCUGACAAUUGGCUCUGCUCCUGAAUAAUCCACAACUCAACAUAGGUUAGUGUUUAGUGACUUCAGACUUGAGACCAAAAGGACCUGGAGAUACAAACCAAUUUGAAAAAAGGGGGUUAAAGAAGAUUAAGGAAUUUACAAACAGCCAGAG